rnacentral:misc_RNA from 1 species
CUAGAACAUUCAUAGACCCCUAAAAGUAAAACCCUAGCUCUGUUUUACUAACUUGCCACCACUACCACCACCACUGCCAAGCCAUGGCUCUGCAAUUUGUCCGCCUCCGCCGAGCUCUAACCUCACUUUCCACUCUCCAUAGCUCUCUUUCCACUCCAAUCAUCCCCAGUUCACCUCUUCCUCUCCCGCAUACCUUCAUUUCUCCCUCGCCGUCCAAGCAAUCGCCGUUAUUCUUCAUCUUUCAGUCGCGGCAGUUCACGGGAUCCCGGAUGUCUCUCUCUUCCUCGGGAAAACAGUACAGGGUGUACAAGGAAGGAGACGAGAUCACGGAGGACAUGGUGCUUUUCGAGGGCUGCGAUUUCAAUCACUGGCUGAUUACGGUGGAUUUCCCCAAGGACCCGAAGCCCACACCUGAAGAGAUGGUUGCUACCUACGAGCGUAUCUGCGCCCAGGGACUGGGCAUCAGUAUCGAGGAGGCAAAGAAAAAGAUAUACGCUUGUAGCACCACCACGUAUCAAGGGUUUCAGGCAGUUAUGACAGAAGAGGAGUCAGAAAAAUUUAAAGAUGUUCCUGGAGUUGUCUUUGUAUUGCCAGAUUCUUAUAUUGAUCCACAAAACAAGGAAUAUGGAGGAGACAAGUAUGAAAAUGGAGUAAUAACACCAAGGCCACCUCCGGUUCAAUAUAGGAGGGGAGGAAGAUUCAAUGACAGGAACAGAAACCCUGCCCAGCCAAGAUAUGAUCAGCAAGGAGGUCCUGUGCCAAAUCAACGUGGGAGUCCCCAAUACAAUCAAGGAUAUAUGCAAGGUGGACGUGGUGGGCCCCAAUAUAAUCAACAAGGAUAUACGCAAGGUGGUGGUAACUAUGGACCUCCACAAAAUUACCCACCGCAGCAAAAUUAUGGUCCUCCUGGACAAGGAGACACAAUGCCAAUGAACAAUAGGGAUUAUGCACCUGGAGGAAGGGACUCAUAUCAGACAAAUAGGGGUCCAUAUCCAGGCACCUAUGGCCAAGACCAACGAGGAGGCCAAUAUCAGGGCAAUUACAGCCAAGGUGAGCAGGGAAAUCAUUAUCCUCAAGACCAAAGGGGCUUCCCACAAGGAGAUCAGAGGGACUUUAGGGGAGAUGGCAGAAAUUAUUCUCCUGCGCCAGCUGGCACUCAUGGGCAAGGUGCAAAUACUGGCUAUGGGCAGGGCUACCCAGGUGAAGGUCAAAAGUUUUCACAAAUGGAGCAGAGAAAUAUGUAUGGAGAGCAAUCAAAUUAUGCACCAGUGGGACAAACUGGGGGAAACCAAGGAAGAUAUUAGGAGACUCCCAGAUGGUUCAUUGAGGCAAUGGAGGGGGGAGACCUGUAAAUCACUUUUAUAUUUCACAUGGUCAUCCUCAUGAACAGGGAUAUAAACCUUUUCAAGUUGUGUCGUGGUAAAUAGUUGUUUAUGUUCACCUUUAAUCG